AUAGCGUAUAUUAAAGUUGUUGCAGUUAAAAAGCUCGUAGUUGAAUUUUAGCCCUGGCUGGGUGGUCCGGCCUUCCGGUCGGUACUGCUUUGGUUGGGGUUCACCUUCUGGUGAGCCAGCAUGCACUUUAUUGGGUGUGUUGGGGAACCAGGACUUUUACUUUGAAAAAAUUAGAGUGUUUAAAGCAGGCAUACGCUUGAAUACAUUAGCAUGGAAUAAUGGAAUAGGACUUUGGUUCUAUUUUGUUGGUUUCUAGGACCUCGGUAAUGAUUAAUAGGGAUAGUUGGGGACAUUAGUAUUUAAUUGUCAGAGGUGAAAUUCUUGGAUUUAUGAAAGACUAACUUCUG
rnacentral:rRNA from 1 species